AGAACAAUUACAUUGUCUUCUACACUCUUUCAUUUCCCAAAUUUAUACUUCACUUUUAGUUUUGAAAGUCGUAUACUUGUCUCUCUCUUCCUCUCUUCUCGUCUCUUUUGUUCUCCCACAACCCUAGCAAAACGAAUACUUUUCCCUUCAUCAUUGUUCAUCUCUCUCGUCAGAUCCGGUAACCUCCGCACUCCCUUCAUCAAGCUUGGCAAGCUCGACGUACUUCCAGUCUUGUCAAAGGUAAAUACAUCUUCAAUGGCAGUAAUGAUGCGAUUUCGGCAGGGUAUAUCCGAUUCUGGCGACGGGACUCGUAGAUUCAUGGUCUAUUAACUGUUACAGGGGUAAGAUUUUCAAUUUCUUCUGGUUUUCCAUUUCAGGGUUUAUUAUCACAAAACUUUAAUGUACUUUAUUUGUCUCUUAAACUAUUAUUAUUUUAGGGUUUGUUAGGUAUGAAUGAUUAUGGUUUGAAAUUUGAAUGAUUUUGAGAUAUGAAUCAUUUGAGUAUAUUUUUCACGUUUCUUAAUAAAAUGUAUCUUUAAGAGAAGGAAAUAAGGCGUCUGCAUCUGCUACACCAAUGACUGCAAGAAAGAUAGAAAGCUGAUAAUGCACAGAAAGAUGAUAAUACACCAGUUGCAGCCACUGAGAAGAAGGGGAAUGAUUUCCGCCAUGAAAAAGAUAGAAAUAAAGAUGAUAGUCAACCAAGCUUGAAGUAUCAUGACAAGAGCUGGGUGGAGAAAGCUAAACAUCAUUCUGUAGCGAAACAAACUAAAGUUAGUAACAAAGUUGAGUUGUUAAGGCAUAAAGGUAUAUUAGUCACAUAAAAUUUAAACAUAUCUUUUGCCACAUUAGGUUUGUAGGUUUGUAUUUAGCUUUUUCAUUGUGGCUUAUUGAUAUUAUAGGCUUUUGUAUAUGGGCAUUUUCUUAGUCAUUUGAGUAAAUUUUACAGGUUUGUUGAUGUUGUUAUAACUAUUCCCAAAGGAACUUUGUUCCCUAUGUGCGGUAUGAAUCCGGAGUUGGUGGUCGGGAGAAGCCGGUAAUUUUCCAUCUUUGGAUAUUCUUGUGUCACUGGUAUUUAUUUUAAUUAUUUGUUUUGAUAACAGGAAACUAAACUUUAUCAUGUUAAGACUAUUGGAUUUCUUGGGGAUGUCUUUGGUUUUUCACUAAAAAUGUGCAAAAAGAACCUGAUAUGGGUUGUAAAUCGAAUGCAAGUUGCCAUCUAACUGUUUUCUCCUUUCACAUAUGUAUAGAACAAAUAUGUCUAACAGAUGUUGAUCAUGUCAUCUUCCCAGCCAUAAGGAUGCAAAAGACCAUGAACUUUUACUUUCAGGUAAGGAAGAAAGUGUGAAAUGGAGAUCACUUAUGGAGAAACAUGCUCAAGAUAGUGUUUUAUGGUGUUAUAAGCACAAGCUUGAACUGAGCAAGUUUAUCAUUGUUUUGAGAUUUAUCAAUUUCAAGACUAAUCAUCUUCGUUGCCGAGCUAUAUCAAAGAAGAACUAUUUCCCAGCUCAUUGCCAAGCCCUAAUGGCCAGCCUGCCAAGAAAUAGUAUUGUGUAUAUUGACAGAUAGCAAAUUUGUAUGUGGAUCCUGUGAUUAGACAUUCAGCAAGGUUUUAUAAGUUGUUUCAAUGGGUUUGCUAUGGACAUUUUCAAAGCCGAGGUAAAAAAUGGUUUUGUUAUCUCAUGGAAGGUAUACACGUAAUAAUGAAAAUCGCUUCCAUUGUUCAAAGUUGUUUAUUUCUUGUGAUUGAGGUAUGAAAAUGAAAACUAACCUCCUUUCUCUUGCAGCAAUGCAAAGAAGAUCAAGAUGUUCAUCUAGAGCAAAUCAAAGCGGUACUGUUGGAUUCAGCUGGUGUAAUUCCUUAUGGCCGGAGACGCAGUUGGCCUGCUCAACUUAUUUCGCUGUAGUAAGAUGCCAUGUAUUAUGCAUGGCAUGCUACAUAAGAUGACUAAUGGUUUUCUAGCAAUUAGGGGGAAUUAGUGGAGUUCGCUUUUAUACUAGCAGUAUUUUUGAUCUAGCAUAUAUUUAUGUAAUGGUAAAUUUUUAUACAAAGUCUGGCACUAUUUACUUAUCAACUGUUCUAAUAAAAAAGAUUGAAAAAUUCUCUAGCCAUCCUGCAAGUUUCUUUUUAUAUACGUGGUCAUACCUUUAUUUUUGUUGUUUACUAAUUGUUUUUAAUUUAACUAUCAGGGAUCUGUCCAGUGUACUAAAGAUGGCAUGUAUAUUCUUUUGACAAAAUCUGUUGGAAAGAGUAUAUUUUGUCAAACACAUCUCCUUGGUUCAUAAUAGUUCCAAUAAUACUACUUUACACACUUUUUUAAAUACUUGGAAUUGGAUACAAUUGGAAAUAACGUGACAUAAGUUUAAGUUGUUUUUAAUAGAAUAAAACUCUAAAAUAGCUUAUUGAAAGAGAGCUUAAAUAGAUAUCUAUUCAAGGGCACUCACAGUCCUUUACUUUUUCCCCUCUAAUCUUUGUGAACGUGAAUUUCAUUCAUUUUCUCCAUUGUUAUAUCUAAUUUGGUUUUUGUUAACACAUUAUGUGGUUAUGAAAUUAAUUGGUUCACACACGACUGUACUGAUGAAAAUUUCCCCCUCUAAUCUUUGUGAACAUGAAUUUGGUUUUCCAUCUUGGAAUAUCUUUGAAUAUAUGGUUUUCAUCUCUUGAAGUCUUUGUUAAUUGUAAUUUUUUUUAUGUUUUUGGACUUAAAG